AGGCCAGGCCAGUAUCUAAUUUUUUAUUAUUUAUUUAUUUAUUUAUUUUAACACUUAACAGUUUCUAAGUAUCCACAUGAAAUUGCCUCUUACCUAUUUUGUGAAAAAUUCUCUCUGCACUUAGGGGUAAAGGGCAGACAAUAGAAUAUUACUUAUUCACUUGGCUCAAAGCAUGGCCCUGUUUCUUUUUUUAUUUUUUUCUCACGGGUCUGUGUCCUAAGCAUUGCUUAUUUUUAGAAACUCCUGAGGAAAAUCUCUUUGCGAAGAACCUGCACAAGUGGCUUUGGAAAUUUCAAGGAAGCCAAUCUCGCUUGCACAGUAUAGCGGGGUCCUGCACCACGAGAGCCUGCUUUGGGCCCUAGAACCUACAGCCUGGCAACUGACACCUGUAAUCCCAGCUACUCGGGAGGCAGAGGCAGAGGCAGGAGAAUCACUUGAACGCGGGAGGCAGAGGUUGCAGUGAGCCGAGAUUGCGGGUGGCGGAGCUUGCAGUGAGCCGAGACCAGGCCACUGCAUUCCAGCCUGGGCGACAGAGCCAGACUCUAUCUUAAACAAAAAAAAAAAAAAAAAAAAAAAGAAAGAAAAGAAAAAGAAAACAAUACAUAUAUCUUACAAGACACUUGUGACAGAUGUUCCGCUGUGUUGCCAGUAUUUCAUUUGAAGCAAAGUAAAGAAUAAUACGGUUUUUGGAUCCGGGAAACACAAUUGAAGGUGGGGGUGGGGUGAGAAGAACAGAUUUAAAUAUUAGGUGUUACUAGCAAAAAAUGUGAUUUCUCUAGUCCCAGGUGCAGAUUUUCUUCAAUAGUACUUGGUUUUCGUUACAAAAGAAAGAGCAAGUACCCAGGCUGGUGCUGUUAGAGUCAGGACAGCAUGAAGAGCUCUGCCUACCAACAAGCCUCAGGACAGAGUACAGGAAUGUUAGAAGAUUAGCUCCCAUUUAUCUGAAGGAGAAAAAAGGGUAAUCCUUCCGGUGUUGAU
rnacentral:lncRNA from 1 species